GCYUAACACAUGCAAGUCGAACGAAGCUCCUUAUCUUCGGACGAGGAGUCUUAGUGGCGAACGGGUGCGUAACGCGUUGGUAACCUGCCCCAAAGUGGGGGAUAACAGUUCGAAAGGACUGCUAAUACCUCAUGGGAUCAUCAGGAUUAGAUGCUUGAUGAUUAAAGGAGUAAUCCGCUUUGGGAGGGGCCUGCGUCCCAUCAGCUAGUUGGUAGGGUAAUGGCCUACCAAGGCUUUGACGGGUAGGGGACCUGAGAGGGUGGCCCCCCACACUGGCACUGAAAUACGGGCCAGACACCUACGGGUGGCAAGCAGUAGGGAAUAUUGGACAAUGGGCGAAAGCCUGAUCCAGCAACGCCGCGUGCACGAUGAAGGCCUUCGGGUUGUAAAAGUGCUUUUAGGAGAGAUGAGAAAGGACAGUAUCUCCUGAAUAAGCCUCGGCGAACUACGUGCCAGCAGCCGCGGUAAUAC
rnacentral:rRNA from 1 species